GGGGGACUGAAGAUUAGUAGGGAAGCUGUUGAAUUCACACUGGCGAGAAAAGCUGCUAAGGAGCGAGAGUAUGCCCGUACCGCAAACCGACACAGGUAGGCGAGGAGAGAAUCCUAAGACGAGCGGGAGAACCCUUGUUAAGGAACUCGGCAAAAUGACUCCGUAACUUAGGGAGAAGGAGUGCCUCGAGAGAGGCCGCAGAGAAUAGGCCCAAGCGACUGUUUAUCAAAAACACAGGUCUGUGCGAAGUAGAGAUACGACGUAUACGGGCUGACGCCUGCCCAGUGCCGGAAGGUUAAGGGGAAGUGUUAGGGCAACCGAAGCACGGAACUUAAGCCCCGGUGAACGGCGGCCGUAACAAUAACGGUCCUAAGGUAGCGAAAUUCCUUGUCGGGUAAGUUCCGACCCGCACGAAUGGCGUAACGACUUGGGCACUGUCUCAACAAGGGACCCGGCGAAAUUGUAGUAUGUGUGAAGAUGCACAUUACCCGCGAUAGGACGGAAAGACCCCGUAGAGCUUUACUGUAGUUUAACAUUGGAUUUUGAUAACACAUGUACAGGAUAGGUGGGAGGCUGAGAAACCGGCACGCCAGUGCCGAUGGAGCCGCUGUUGGGAUACCACUCUUGUGUUAUUGGAGUUCUAACGAAGUGCCGUAAACCGGGCUUCGGACAGUGUUAGAUGGGCAGUUUGACUGGGGCGGUCGCCUCCGAAAGAGUAACGGAGGCGUCCAAAGGUUCCCUCAGAAUGGUUGGAAACCAUUCACAGAGUGCAAAGGCAGAAGGGAGCUUGACUGCGAGACCGACAGGUCGAGCAGGUACGAAAGUAGGGCUUAGUGAUCCGGCGGUAUGAGAGUGGAAUUGCCGUCGCUCAACGGAUAAAAGCUACCUCGGGAUAACAGGCUGAUCUCCCCCAAGAGUUCACAUCGACGGGGAGGUUUGGCACCUCGAUGUCGGCUCGUCGCAUCCUGGGGCUGGAGCAGGUCCCAAGGGUUUGGCUGUUCGCCGAUUAAAGCGGCACGCGAGCUGGGUUCAGAACGUCGUGAGACAGUUCGGUCCCUAUCCAUCGUGGGCGCAGGAGAUUUGAGAGGAGCUGUCCUUAGUACGAGAGGACCGGGAUGGACGCACCAAGGGUGAAUCAGUUGUCGUGCCAACGGCACAGCUGGGUAGCCAAGUGCGGAUCGGAUAAACGCUGAAGGCAUCUAAGCGUGAAGCCGACCUCAAGAUAAGAUCUCCCAUCCGAAAGGAGUAAGACCCCAUGAAGACCACAUGGUUGAUAGGCCGGAGGUGGAAGUGCAGUAAUGUACGGAGCUGACCGGUACUAAUAGGUCGAGGGCUUGAA
rnacentral:rRNA from 1 species